AUUGAACGCUGGCGGCAUGCCUUACACAUGCAAGUCGAACGGUAACAGGUUAAGCUGACGAGUGGCGAACGGGUGAGUAAUGCAUCGGAACGUGCCCAGUAGUGGGGGAUAGCCCGGCGAAAGCCGGAUUAAUACCGCAUACGACCUACGGGUGAAAGGGGGGGAUCGCAAGACCUCUCGCUAUUGGAGCGGCCGAUGUCAGAUUAGGUAGUUGGUGGGGUAAAGGCCUACCAAGGCGACGAUCUGUAGCUGGUCUGAGAGGACGACCAGCCACACUGGGACUGAGACACGGCCCAGACUCCUACGGGAGGCAGCAGUGGGGAAUUUUGGACAAUGGGCGCAAGCCUGAUCCAGCCAUGCCGCGUGAGUGAAGAAGGCCUUCGGGUUGUAAAGCUCUUUCGGCUGAAAAGAAAUCGCACAGGCUAAUACCUUGUGUGGAUGACGGUAUCAGCAUAAGAAGCACCGGCUAACUACGUGCCAGCAGCCGCGGUAACAC
rnacentral:rRNA from 1 species